rfam:Theobroma cacao cultivar Matina 1-6 chromosome 7, whole genome shotgun sequence.
UCCAAAAUUGAUAUUGAAAAAAUCAAGGGUGCUAUAGCCAUUCUUAGUUGGUGGACUGAUAUGUCUAGUUAAUUCUAUUAAUAAACGAGAUCUCAGCUUGCUAACUAUCAAUGUGGAGGUGAUCCUUCAUGGCUAACUUCUUCAAGGGACUAUGCUUGCUUAGGCCAAGGAAGUUUGAGGCAAUAACAAGUUUGUGAUACUUUUAGAUGU